CUCAGACAAAAAGGAAUAAACCCAGAGAGUGUGUGCAUCGCCCAUUUUUUUAUGAUCCACACUGGGUGAGGAUAUCAAGAGUCCUGCAGGCGGGGUUAGCUCAGCGCUGCAGCGCCCGGGGUUGCUUUAGGUGCAGGACGCAGUGGGGCCGAUCCUGCUGCGAUGUCCUCGGAGAGAGCCUGGAGCUCGGCACGCUGCCUCCUGGCACCCCCAAAGUCUCCUUGAAUAUUUGGCCCAGCGACAGCACGAAGACGUUUGGAUGGGCUCAUCCCGGCGCUAACUGGAGACAUUUUGUUAUUAUCGCAGCCCCGUGCUAAUCAGCACCCCUGCCCCAGACUGCAGCUCCCAACGGGAUGCAACUCAGGCAGAUGAUCACAGGAGGGACACCGGGCACUCUGUGGCACCCUGGCCGCCCCACAGCACCCUGUCACCCUGUUCCCAGCCCUAGGGAAGCAGCCCCUGGGUGCAGCAUCGCCCUGCCAGCAGCAUCCCACAGCCGUGGCCGUGCUCCAAAUGGCCUCGCCACUGAUUUGCGGCGGCCUGAAGGCAUCAGCUCGCCAUGCCAGGAGGUUUCUCGGGGUGUGGGCACGGCAGCCGCAGCAUUUUGAGAGCGUCAGAGAGAACGAGGAGGAGCAAUCCCUCGGUGCAGGGGCAGGCUGGCAUGCGAGGAGCUGGCAGGAGCCCUUCAGAAAUGAGACGCGGAGGCAGCCUUUGAAGGAGCAAUCCUCAGGUCCAGAGACUUCAGCUCCCUUUUGGCACCUGGGGAACUCGGUGGGCCCAGGAACCCUGCAGGGGACCAGUGCCAGAGAGCAGCGGGUGCUGCAGAAAAAACAUUUUUGGCCAACACGUGGCAACAGCACCGCACACAAUGAGGCAACGGGAUCGACUUUGCACAGUGCCGGUGCAAAAGUAUUUUUGGCAACGUCAGCGUCCAACCGAUCGACUUUGGGAUGAAUCCUGAACCAGAGCGUGGCUGCUCGUGGUCUCCUGCUGAAGGGCAAGGGUCUGCUCCGCCUUCCUGGCUGAAAUCCAGUGUGCUCCGUGUGUUCUGCACCUCUGCCCUUUCUGAGAAAAAUCAGACCGGUGACAUCUCUGGGAAGUCACCCCCCAUCGCUGCCCAAAGCGGGGGCUGUAAAUCAGAGCUGGAUGCGAAUGAUUUAUUUUUUUAAAAGUCUCACUUGUGUUGGGUGUGGAUUCUCCAGGGUCUUGUAGGGUCGUCACUGCAAAUCUGCAUUCAGCCGUGGGACCGAGAAUUUCUUCCCUUUUAUCCCCAGCAGCUGACGCUCCCCGUCCUGCUCCGAGGAGGAGGCAGAGGUGGGCAGCACGUGGCCCGGGCUCCCAAAGCCGUUCAGGUCCCUGCUGAACUAUUUGGGAGGAGGCACCUGGAGCACACGGCAGCAUGAGCUUGAGUGCGUUCGCUUCAAAAAAUAAAAAAAAAAAUAAAGCAGAUGGUCUAUCGCCG
rnacentral:lncRNA from 1 species